rnacentral:rRNA from 1 species
UACGUAGGUGGCGAGCGUUGUCCGGAUUUACUGGGCGUAAAGGGAGCGUAGGCGGACUUUUAAGUGAGAUGUGAAAUACCCGGGCUCAACUUGGGUGCUGCAUUUCAAACUGGAAGUCUAGAGUGCAGGAGAGGAGAAUGGAAUUCCUAGUGUAGCGGUGAAAUGCGUAGAUAUUAGGAGGAACACCAGUAGCGAAGGCGGCUCUCUGGACUGUAACUGACGCUCAGGCACGAAGGCGUGGGGAUCAAACAGGAUUAGAUACCCU